rnacentral:rRNA from 1 species
UACGGAGGGGCAAGCGUUGUUCGGAAUUACUGGGCGUAAAGGGCGCGCAGGCGGCUGCUCAAGUCAGGCGUGAAAGGCCUGGGCUCAACCCGGGAAUUGCGCUUGAGACUGGGCUGGCUUGAGUGCGGGAGAGGAUGGUGGAAUUCCCAGUGUAGAGGUGAAAUUCGUAGAUAUUGGGAAGAACACCGGUGGCGAAGGCGGCCAUCUGGACCGCAACUGACGCUGAGGCGCGAAAGCGUGGGGAGCAAACAGGG